GACGAACGCUGGCGGCGUGCCUAAUACAUGCAAGUAGAACGAGUUUCGAACGGGUGAGUAAAGCGUAGGUAACUGCCUCAUAGCGGGGGGUAAAUCUUGGGAACGAUAGCUAAUAUCGCACACUGUAAGAUGUACCUGCGUUGUGUUAGCUAGUUGGUGGGGUAAGGGCUCACCAAGGCGACGAUACAUAGCCGACCUGAGAGGUGGAACUGCCACAUUGGGACUGGGACACGGCCCAGACUCCUACGGGAGGCAGCAGUAGGGAAUCUUCCGCAAUGGACGGAAGUCUGACCGAGCAACGCCGCGGUAGUGAAGAAGGUUUUCGGGUCGUAAAGCUCUGUUGUUAGAGAAGCGGUACCUAAACAGAAAGCCACGGCUAACUACGUGCCAGCAGCCGCGGUAAUAC
rnacentral:rRNA from 1 species